UCGUAGUCAGAACUGCCUGCAAAGGCUUGCGAACAAAUGUUCGUUCACUGUGAACAAAUCAGGACGCUUAGUGUAUGGCUACAAGAAUGACUUAGCGCAGUAUGAUAUCUUUACCUUUGGUAAGAUCAAUGAGAGCCACCGGGGGUAGAUCUAUUUCAUGGCGAACGGCGGAAUGUUUUGACCCAUGAGAGAGAAACGAAGGCGAAAGCAUCUACCUAGCGGGUUUCUGUCGAUCAAGGGCGAGAGUAGGAGUAUCCAACCGGAUUAGAGACCCGGGUAGUUCCUACCUUAAACGAUGCCGACAGGGGCUUGUCCUUCUAUAAGGGCAGGACCUUAGGAGAAAUCAUAGUUCUUGGGCUCUGGGGGAACUACGACCGCAAGGCUGAAACUUGAAGGAAUUGACGGAAGGGCACACCAGGGGUGGAGCUUGUGGCUUAAUUUGAAUCAACACGGGGAAACUUACCAGGACCAGAUGUUUUUGAUGACUGACAGGCUUCCGGUCUUUCAGGAUAUGAUUUUUGGUGGUGCAUGGCCGUUGGUGGUGCGUGGGUU
rnacentral:rRNA from 1 species